AGCAUGUGGUUUAAUUCGAAGCAACGCGAAGAACCUUACCAGGUCUUGACAUCCUCUGACAACCCUAGAGAUAGGGCUUCCCCUUCGGGGGCAGAGUGACAGGUGGUGCAUGGUUGUCGUCAGCUCGUGUCGUGAGAUGUUGGGUUAAGUCCCGCAACGAGCGCAACCCUUGAUCUUAGUUGCCAGCAUUCAGUUGGGCACUCUAAGGUGACUGCCGGUGACAAACCGGAGGAAGGUGGGGAUGACGUCAAAUCAUCAUGCCCCUUAUGACCUGGGCUACACACGUGCUACAAUGGGCAGAACAAAGGGCAGCGAAGCCGCGAGGCUAAGCCAAUCCCACAAAUCUGUUCUCAGUUCGGAUCGCAGUCUGCAACUCGACU
rnacentral:rRNA from 1 species